rnacentral:rRNA from 1 species
AUUGAACGCUGGCGGCAGGCCUAACACAUGCAAGUCGAGCGGAUGAAGGGAGCUUGCUCCUGGAUUCAGCGGCGGACGGGUGAGUAAUGCCUAGGACUCUGCCUGGUAGUGGGGGAUAACGUCCGGAAACGGGCGCUAAUACCGCAUACGUCCUGAGGGAGAAAGUGGGGGAUCUUCGGACCUCACGCUAUCAGAUGAGCCUAGGUCGGAUUAGCUAGUUGGUGGGGUAAAGGCCUACCAAGGCGACGAUCCGUAACUGGUCUGAGAGGAUGAUCAGUCACACUGGAACUGAGACACGGUCCAGACUCCUACGGGAGGCAGCAGUGGGGAAUAUUGGACGAUGGGCGAAAGCCUGAUCCAGCCAUGCCGCGUGUGUGAAGAAGGUCUUCGGAUUGUAAAGCACUUUAAGUUGGGAGGAAGGGCAGUAAGUUAAUACCUUGCUGUUUUGACGGUACCAACAGAAUAAGCACCGGCUAACUUCGUG